rnacentral:rRNA from 1 species
CCUACGGGUGGCAGCAGUGAGGAAUAUUGGUCAAUGGGCGAGAGCCUGAACCAGCCAAGUCGCGUGAGGGAGUACUGCCCUAUGGGGUGUAAACCUCUUUUGUCGGGGAGCAAAAGCCGGACGUGUCCGGCUGUGAGAGUACCCGAAGAAAAAGCAUCGGCUAACUCCGUGCCAGCAGCCGCGGUAAUACGGAGGAUGCGAGUGUUAUCCGGUUUUAUGGGGUUAAAAGGGUGCGCAGGGGGAUUUGUAAGUCAGCGGCAAAAUCGUGGGGCUCAACCCCAUCCAGCCGUUGAAACUGGGGAUCUAGAGUGUGCGAGAGGUAUGCGGAAUGCGUGGUGUAGCGGUGAAAUGCAUAGAUAUCACGCAGAACCCCGAUUGCGAAGGCAGCAUACCGGUGCACAACUGACGCUCAGGCACGAAAGCGUGGGUAUCGAACAGGAUUAGAUACCCGAGUAGUC